rnacentral:rRNA from 1 species
UACGAAGGGGGGCUAGCGUUGCUCGGAAUGACUGGGCGUAAAGGGCGCGUAGGCGGUGGACACAGUCAGGCGUGAAAUUCCUGGGCUCAACCUGGGGGCUGCGUUUGAUACGUGUUUUGCUAGAGUGGGGAAGAGGGUCGUGGAAUUCCCAGUGUAGAGGUGAAAUUCGUAGAUAUUGGGAAGAACACCGGUGGCGAAGGCGGGUCGCUGGCCUAACUGACGCUGAGGAGCGAAAGCGUGGGGAGCGAACAGG